rnacentral:rRNA from 1 species
CGAGAAUCUUGGGCAAUGCACGAAAGUGUGACCCAGCGACGCCGCGUGAAGGAUGAAGGCCCUCUGGGUCGUAAACUUCUUUUAAGGGGGAAGAAUCAAUGACGGUACCCCUUGAAUAAGCCACGGCUAACUACGUGCCAGUAGCCGCGGUAAGACAGAGGAGCCAAGCGUUGUCCGGAUUGACUGGGCGUAAAGCGCACGCAGGCGGUCGCGCGCGUGGGGUGUGAAAACUGGCGGUUUAACUGCCAGAGGCCAUCCCAUACGGCGCGACUCGAGCCCUGCAGAGGUCCACGGAAUUGCCGGUGUAGUGGUGAAAUGCGUAGAGAUCGGCAGGAACACCCAGGGGGAAACCAGUGGACUGGGCAGGAGCUGACGCUCAGGUGCGAAAGCGUGGGGAGCGAAC